UUGUUGCUGGACUGAUAUCAAGCCUUCCUCCGGUUGCGUGCAGUCAGUGCUAAUCCAAAGGAGAAAAUACCUAACACAGGAAUUUCAAGCAUCAAUUUCAAAUGAGCUACUGGAAAUAGUUUUGGGCAAGAUGGCCUGUUGGGACUCACACAAGAAAUUUUACCACUUAAGAUUUCAAGUGAAGAACAGCAACGGGGAUAUUGAAAAGAUAGGAAUGUGUUAAGAAAUUGAUUUUUUCUUAAAGUCAAGAAGAGAAGAAAUUUUAAGAGGGACGAAAAGGAUGACAAAUAUUGCUGAAUUCUACAGGGAAACUGAAGACAAUGAGAAGCACGGCAAGGCAUUUGGAUUUAGUGAACAUGAAUAAACAAAAAGCAUGAAGAAAUCA
rnacentral:lncRNA from 12 species